CAAUCUCCUCGGCCUUUGGGCUAAGAUCAGAUGUAGUAUCUGUUGUUAUCAGGGUAAUAUCUGAUCCCUCCUCUAUCUGAGGACAGUAUAUUAAGUGGAUUUUUGGACUUAGGAGGUGGAAUAGGAGCUUGCUCCGUCCACUCCACGCAUCGACCUGGUAUUGCAGUACCUCCAGGAACGGUGCACUCCCU